rnacentral:tRNA from 1 species
GUGCCCGUAGCUCAGUUGGAUAGAGCAGCAGAUUUCUAAUCUGCUGGUCGCUGGUUCGAAUCCAGCCGGGCAUG